CCUGUUGUGCGACCGACAGUUGCCUAUCCAGACAUGGUCAACUGGUAACGGCUGAGUAUGACGCUUUGGAGACAACGCGCCUCUCGAUUGACGGCUCACCCCGGUGACGGGGCGGGCGACACUGCCAGCCGCCGUGCGGUGUGAGGU
rnacentral:ncRNA from 1 species